GACCACCCAGUAGCUAGAUGUGGACUUUCGAGGCCUCGGACCCCGUUCCAAGUCCGACCGUCCCUUUCCAGGCCAUUGUGCCUUUCUUCGGCGUUUUGGGACGGAACCAAGAAACCGAGUCUGGGGCGUCACCGCUCGGCUUUUGUGGGCAAGAAACUUCGAGAUCACUCAGAAUCGGACCACCCAGUAGCUAGAUGUGGACUUUCGAGGCCUCGGACCCCGUUCCAAGUCCGACCGUCCCUUUCUAGGCCAUUGUGCCUUUCUUCGGCGUUUUGGAACGGAACCAAGAAACCGAGUCUGGGGCGUCACCGUUCGGCUUUUGUGGGCAAGAAACUUUGAGAUCACUCAGAAUCGGACCACCCAGUAGCUAGAUGUGGACUUUCGAGGCCUCGGGACCCCCGUUCCAAAGUCCGACCGUCCCUUUCCAGGCCAUUGUGCCUUUUUCGGCGUUUUGGGACGGAACCAAGAAACCGAGUCUGGGCGUCACCGUUCGGCUUUUGUGGGCAAGAAACUUCGAGAUCACUCAGAAUCGGACCACCCAGUAGCUAGAUGUCGACUUUCGAGGCCUCGGACCCCGUUCCAAGUCCGACCGUCCCUUUCUAGGCCAUUGUGCCUUUCUUCGGCGUUUUGGGACGGAACCAAGAAACCGAGUCUGGGGCGUCACCGUUCGGCUUUUGUGGGCAAGAAACUUCGAGAUCACUCAGAAUAGGACCACCCAGUAGCUAGAUGUGGACUUUCGAGGCCUCGGACCCCGUUCCAAGUCCGACCGUCCCUUUCCAGGCCAUUGUGCCUUUCUUCGGCGUUUUGGGACGGAACCAAGAAACCGAGUCUGCGGCGUCACCGUUCGGCGUUUUGUGGGCAAGAAACUUCGAGAUCACUCAGAAUCGGACCACCCAGUAGCUAGAUGUGGACUUUCGAGGCCUCGGACCCCGUUCCAAGUCCGACCGUCCCUUUCCAGGCCAUUGUGCCUUUCUUCGGCGUUUUAGGACGGAACCAAGAAACCGAGUCUGCGGCGUCACCGUUCGGCUUUUUGUGCGGCAAGAAACUUCGAGAUCACUCAGAAUCGGACACCCCAGUAGCUAGAUGUGGACUUUCGAGGCCUCGGACCCCGUUCCAAGUCCGACCGUCCCUUUCUAGGCCAUUGUGCCUUUCUUCGGCGUUUUGGGACGGAACCAAGAAACCGAGUCUGCGGCGUCACCGUUCGGCUUUUGUGGGCAAGAAACUUCGAGAUCACUAAGAAUGGAUCGGACCACCCAGUAGCUAGAUGUGGACUUUCGAGGCCUCGGACCCCGUUCCAAGUCCGACCGUCCCUUUCUAGGCCAUUGUGCCUUUCUUUCGGCGUUUUGGGACGGAACCAAAGAAACCGAGUCUGGCGGCGUCACCGUUCGGCUUUUGUGGGCAAGAAACUUCGAGAUCACUCAGAAAUCGGACCACCCAGUAGCUAGAUGUGGACUUUCGAGGCCUCGGACCCCGUUCCAAGUCCGACCGUCCCUCUUCAGGCCAUUGUGCCUUUCUUCGGCGUUUUGGGACGGAACCAAGAAACCGAGUCUGGGGCGUCACCGUUCGGCUUUUGUGGGCAAGAAACUUCGAGAUCACUCAGAAUCGGACCACCCAGUAGCUAGAUGUGGACUUUCGAGGCCUCGAACCCCGUUCCAAGUUCCGACCGUCCCUUUCCAGGCCAUUGUGCCUUUCUUCGGCGUUUUGGGACGGAACAAGAAACCGAGUCUGGGCGUCACCGUUCGGCUUUUGUGGGCAAGAAACUUCGAGAUCACUCAGAAUCGGACCACCCAGUAGCUAUUAGUGGACUUUCGAGGCCUCGGACCCCGUUCCAAGUCCGACCGUCCCUUUCUAGGCCAUUGUGCCUUUCUUCGGCGUUUUGGGACGGAACCAAGAAACCGAGUCGGGGCGUCACCGUUCGGCUUUUGUGGGCAAGAAACUUCGAGAUCACUCAGAAUCGGACCACCCAGUAGCUAGAUGUGGACUUUCGAGGCCUCGGACCCCCGUUCCAAGUCCGACCGUCCCUUUCUAGGCCAUUGUGCCUUUCUUCGGCGCUUUGGGACGAACCAAGAAACCGAGUCUGGGGCGUCACCGUUCGGCUUUUGUGGGCAAGAAACUUCGAGAUCACUCAGAAUCGGACCACCCAGUAGCUAGAUGUGGACUUUCGAGGCCUCGGACCCGUUCCAAGUCCGACCGUCCCUUUCCAGGCCAUUGUGCCUUUCUUCGGCGUUUUGGGACGGAACCAAGAAACCGAGUCUGCGGCGUCACCGUUCGGCUUUUGUGGGCAAGAAACUUCGAGAUCACUAAGAAUCGGACUCGGACCACCCAGUAGCUAGAUGUGGACUUUCGAGGCCUCGGACCCCGUUCCAAGUCCGACCGUCCCUUUCUAGGCCAUUGUGCCUUUUCUUUGCGUUUUGGGACGGAACCAAGAAACCGAGUCUGGGCCGUCACCGUUCGGCUUUUGUGGGCAAGAAACUUCGAGAUCACUCAGAAUCGGACCACCCAGUAGCUAGAUGUGGACUUUCGAGGCCUCGGACCCCGUUCCAAGUCCGACCGUCCCUUUCUAGGCCAUUGUGCCUUUCUUCGGCGUUUUGGGACGGAACCAAGAAACCGAGUCUGGGGCGUCACCGUUCGGCUUUUGUGGGCAAGAAACUUCGAGAUCACUCAGAAUCGGACCACCCAGUAGCUAGAUGUGGACUUUCGAGGCCUCGGACCCCGUUCCAAGUUCGACCGUCCCUUUCCAGGCCAUUGUGCCUUUCUUCGGCGUUUUGGGACGGAACCAAGAAACCGAGUCUGGGCGUCACCGUUCGGCUUUUGUGGGCAAGAAACUUCGAGAUCACUCAGAAUCGGACCACCCAGUAGCUAGAUGUGGACUUUCGAGGCCUCGGACCCGUUCCAAGUCCGACCGUCCCUUUCUAGGCCAUUGUGCCUUUCUUCGGGUUUGGGACGGAACCAAGAAACCGAGUCUGGGCGUCACCGUUCGGCUUUUGUGGGCAAGAAACUUCGAGAUCACUCAGAAUCGGACCACCCAGUAGCUAGAUGUGGACUUUCGAGGCCUCGGACCCCGUUCCAAGUCCGACCGUCCCUUUCCAGGCCAUUGUGCCUUUCUUCGGCGUUUUGGGACGGAACCAAGAAACCGAGUCUGGGGCGUCACCGUUCGGCUUUUGUGGGCAAGAAACUUCGAGAUCACUCAGAAUCGGACCACCCAGUAGCUAGAUGUGGACUUUCGAGGCU
rnacentral:lncRNA from 1 species